GUUUUCCUUCGAGACAUCUCACGCAAAAGUUCGAGACGGCUUGGCAAAAAUAGGGCACUGUGAGUCCGACCUCGAGACGUCUCAUGAAAUAGUCAGAGACGACUCGUACGCGAGUCGACUCGAAUUCUUCUCGAGUCGGCUCGAGGUCUGCCCUUCUUCAAACUGAUGAGAGCACAAAAGUGCGAUCUACAUAUCACCUAAAUUAGUGUUAUUGCUAACUGAUAAUGAUAAAUUCACCGGUUUAAUAUUAUAUUUUGGUUUGGUAUAGGUUACUACAAACUAAAGUUUAAAUGCGCAUUUGGUACAGAUUGCACAGGUCCAAUCCUACCAUGACCUGGUCGAGCACAUUUGCCCCCGAGUGAUUUCCCAUAUUGUGCUAGCCAUCCCACGGUUCAUCAUCAGCAUCACGUCUUCAACACGUUGCGAUGUCCCAGCAUCCAUGCCGUCCAUCGGAUCACCUUCUAAAUCAGCCCGCAUCCAAGAGACCCAAUAACAUUGGGUUUGAGCUCAGCUUAUCCCAGCGUGCCAUGCCUUAGCGAUCAGGCAUCCCGUGAUUCUCCUGCAUCAAGGCCCCGCGAUCAUUUCCUUCUCGGCCAUCCGCCCAGCCAAUCAUCAACAUCCCGAAUAAAUCCAUUCCGAUCGGCUCCUCCCAGCAUCCCGCAGUUCACAUCCGGUGUGCCUAUCCUCCCAUGGUCCAAAGAAGGAAACCCACGAAGCAGCCAGCCGUCUCCCUCUUUCGAUCAUGACUUGGGACUAUCGUGAGCGGCUAGGAUGCAGGGCUUCCGAGUUCCAGCUUCCUCCCGUCGAUCCCGCGGCGGCCUCCAAGUGAUCCCGUGAUCCAGCCUCCACCACAGCCGUGAUCGGCUCCUCCCAGCAGCCCAAGAGUCCAUCGGCAUUCAUCCUCCCAGCAUCCCAGCUCUUCCGCACAUCACAACGCGUCUACAGAGCUUCUUCCGCCUGCUCCAGCCAGUGAUCCCGCGAUGCAUCGUCAAGGAAUCACGUCCAGCCAAUCGUCUCCCCCUUCCGGAUUCAAGACCCCUUCCUCCGCCUCUGCUUCCGUCCGUGAUGCGGAUGCUAAUCCAUGAUCCUAGCAUCAACCCGUCCGUCUCCUCCGCAAUUCAGAUCAUCCACCGCAUCCGUGAUCAAUUCUCCUCCACGAUCCGCCCAGCCACGGCAUCCCACGCUGCAAUCAAGCAUCUUCCAUCCAAUUGCAAGCCAUGAUCACAGCAUCCAGCCUUCCGUUCCACCCUCCUGCUUCCAAUCCGGCGUCCACGAAGCUUCCAGUGAUUCUGCCACUCUUCCGGAUUCAAGAUUCCCAGCAUCUCGGAUGACCCCCGCUUCCGUCUGCAUUCACAACCAUCUGCAAUCAAGGGGCCGCUCCAGCCCGUGAUCCCAGCCAUCUCCGUGGUGGAUCCACGUCUUCCUCCAAGCAAUCCCACGGCCAGCUCCACCGAUCCAGCCAUCUUCUUCUUCAGCCCUUCCGCGUCCGCUCCGUGUCCCAGCAAAUCCCCCAAGUCUCGCGUCUGUUACCCCUCCAUCAGGGGAUCCACCGCCGGCUUCAAGGGGUGGGGGAGAUCUAUAUAAAGGAGAGAGGAGAGGAUGAGAGUGUGCUCGGUGGGGGGGGGGGGCAAAGAACAGAGGAGGAGAGGGAGGCCAUCGGCUGGGAGAAGUGCUCGGUUGGGCCAAAAAUCAAAACAGGGGAGGAAGCUCAGUUUCGGGGAAGAAAAACAAAAGAAAAAAAGAGAGAGUAUUUUAUUUAUUUUGGUUUGAGUUUUAUGAGAGCAAUGUGUUUUUUUUAGUUUGAGUUUUAAUUGAAAGUCUUAUGUUGAGAGGUUUUGUUUUAAGUUUUAAUUUUAGAGAGUUUUAUUUUGGUGGAGAGUUUUACUUUUAAGAUUAUUUUAUUUAUGCUGCAAUUUUAAUUUCU
rnacentral:lncRNA from 1 species